GUCUAUGGCCAUACCACCCUGAACACCCUGGAUCUCGUCUGAUCUCGGAAGCUACGCAAGGUCAGGCCUGGUUAGUACAUGGAUGGGAGAAAUACUCAAAAUCUCUAUGAAGAAAAUCUUAAACA
rnacentral:rRNA from 1 species